rnacentral:rRNA from 1 species
CAGCAUGAGUAGCAAUACUUGAUGGCGACCGGCAAACGGGUGCGGAACACGUACAGAACCUUCCUUCGAGUGGGGAAUAGCCCGAAGAAAUUCGGAUUAAUACCCCAUAGUAUUAUGGAGUGGCAUCACUUUAUAAUUAAAGAUUUAUUGCUUGAAGAUGGCUGUGCGCCUGAUUAGGUAGUUGGCGGGGUAAUGGCCCACCAAGCCUUCGAUCAGUAACUGGUGUGAGAGCACGACCAGUCACACGGGCACUGAGACACGGGCCCGACUCCUACGGGAGGCAGCAGUAAGGAAUAUUGGUCAAUGGACGCAAGUCUGAACCAGCCAUGCCGCGUGGAGGAUGAAGGUCCUCUGGAUUGUAAACUUCUUUUAUUUGGGAAGAAAUGUGAUUAUUCUUUUUCACUUGACGGUACCAGAUGAAUAAGCACCGGCUAACUCCGUGCCAGCAGCCGCGGUAAUACGGAGGGUGCAAGCGUUAUCCGGAUUUACUGGGUUUAAAGGGUGCGCAGGCGGAUAUGUAAGUCAGUGGUGAAAUCUCCGGGCUUAACCCGGAAACUGCCGUUGAUACUAUAUAUCUUGAAUGCUGUGGAGGUAAGCAGAAUAUGUCAUGUAGCGGUGAAAUGCUUAGAGAUGACAUAGAAUACCUAUUGCGAAGGCAGCUUACUACGCAGAUAUUGACGCUCAUGCACGAAAGCGUGGGGAUCAAACAGGAUUAGAUACCCUGGUAGUCCACGCCCUAAACGAUGAUUACUCGACAUACGCGAUAUACAGUGUGUGUCUGAGCGAAAGCAUUAAGUAAUCCACCUGGGAAGUACGAUCGCAAGAUUGAAACUC